rnacentral:rRNA from 1 species
UACGGGGGGGGCAAGCGUUGUUCGGAAUUACUGGGCGUAAAGGGCUUGUAGGCGGCCAACUAAGUCCGACGUGAAAUCCCCAGGCUUAACCUGGGAACUGCGUCGGAUACUGGAUGGCUUGAAUUCGGGAGAGGGAUGCAGAAUUCCAGGUGUAGCGGUGAAAUGCGUAGAUAUCGGAAGGAACACCAGUGGCGAAAGCGGCUUCCUGGUCCAGCACCGACGUUCAGGCACGAAAGCGUGGGGAGCAAACAGG